UACGUAGGGGGCAAGCGUUGUCCGGAUUUAUUGGGCGUAAAGAGCGUGUAGGCGGCCAGACAGGUCAGCUGUGAAAACUCGAGGCUCAACCUCGAGACGUCGGUUGAAACCGUCUGGCUAGAGUCCGGAAGAGGAGAGUGGAAUUCCCGGUGUAGCGGUGAAAUGCGCAGAUAUCGGGAAGAACACCCGUGGCGAAGGCGGCUCUCUGGGACGGUACUGACGCUGAGACGCGAAAGCGUGGGGAGCGAACCGG
rnacentral:rRNA from 1 species